rnacentral:rRNA from 1 species
AGCUGGAUUCGCUAGUAAUCGCGCAUCAGCCAUGGCGCGGUGAAUACGUUCCCGGGCCUUGUACACACCGCCCGUCAAGCCAUGAAAGCCGGGGGCGCCUGAAGUCCGUGACCGCGAGGGUCGGCCUAGGGUGAAACCGGUGAUUGGGGCUAAGUCGUAACAAGGUAUC